CUUUUAAAGUUUCUUCAAGUGCAGUUUCAGAAACCAAGCACUAUGAUGAAACUGGCUCUCAUGAGGACCGCCACAGGAAAAGAAGACCCAGAGUUAACUCUGCUGCAGAGGAUAAAUUCAUUAGUUACCAGCCUGAGAAAUUACAGCCCAAAUAAAUGCUUCAGAGUUCAAGUAACAGACACAUCUCACCAUCAACUGUUCAGAGGAGACUGUGCAAAUCAGUCCUUCAUGGUUGAAUUGCUGCAAAGAAACCACUACUUAAGGACACCAAUAAGAAGGGACUUGCUUGGGCCAAGAAAUAUGAACAAUGGACAUUAGACCAGUGGAAAUCUGUCCUUUGGCCUGAUGAGUCCAAAUUUGAGAUUUUUGGUUCCAACCGACGUGUCUUUCUGAGAUGUAGAGUGAUAUUCACGUGUGGUUUGCACUGUGAAGCAUGGGGGAGGAGGUGUGGUAACACUGUCAGUGAUUUAUUUAAAAUUCAAGGCAUACUUAACCAGCAUGACUGCCACAGCAUUCUGCAGCAAUACGCCAUCCCAUCUGGUUUGCGCUUAGUGAGACUAUCAUUUGUUUUUCAACAGGACAAUGACCCAUCACACCUCCAGGCUGUGUAGGGGCUAUUUGACCAAGGAGAGUGAUGGUGCUGCAUCAGAUGACCUGGCCUCCACAAUCACCUGACCUCAACCCAUUUGAGAUGAGUUGGGAUGAGUUGGACAUUAGAGUGAAGGAAAAGCAGCCAACAAGUGCUCAGCAUAUGACCUAAGCCCUAGGACCAUGCCUCAAAACUACCUGGCCUGAUGACUCAUUGCUGUCCUCAGUCCCAUUGCUGUCCUCAAGUCCACCUGGUCGUGCUGCUGCUCCAGUUUCAACUUAUUAUUAUCUGACCCUGCUGGUCGUCUAUGAACGUUUGAACAUCUUGGCCAUGUACUGUUAUUAUCUCCACCUGGCACAGCCAGAAGAGGACUGGCCACCCCUCAGAGCCUGGUUCCUCUCUAGGUUUCUUCCUAGGUUCCAGACUUUCUAGGGAGUUUUUCCUAGCCACUGUGCUGUUUGGGGUUUUAGGCCUGAUUUCCGUACAGCACUUUAUGACAUUGGCUGAUGUAAAAAGGGCUUUAUAAAUAAAUUGAUUGAUUCCAGGUGAAGCUGGUUGAGUGAAUGCCAAGUGUGUGCAAAGCUGCCAUCAAGGCAAAGGGUGGCUACUUUGAAGAAUCUAAAAUAUAUUUUGAUUUGUUUAACACUUUUGGUUAUUACAUGAUUCCACGUGUUAUUUAUUCGUUUUCAUGUCUUCACUAUUCUACAAUGUAGAAAAUACUAAAAAUAAAUAAA
ensembl:lncRNA